UACGUAGGGUGCAAGCGUUAAUCGGAAUUACUGGGCGUAAAGCGUGCGCAGGCGGUUUUGUAAGACAGAGGUGAAAUCCCCGGGCUCAACCUGGGAACUGCCUUUGUGACUGCAAGGCUUGAGUGCGGCAGAGGGGGAUGGAAUUCCGCGUAUAGCAGUGAAAUGCGUAGAUAUGCGGAGGAACACCGAUGGCGAAGGCAAUCCCCUGGGCCUGCACUGACGCUCAUGCACGAAAGCGUGGGGAGCAAACAGG
rnacentral:rRNA from 1 species